GAUUAUGGCUCAGGAUGAACGCUAGCGACAGGCUUAACACAUGCAAGUCGAGGGGCGGCAUAAAAGUAGCAAUACUUGGUGGCGACCGGCGCACGGGUGAGUAACGCGUAUGCAACCUACCUAUCAGAGGGGAAUAACCCGGCGAAAGUCGGACUAAUACCGCAUAAAACAGGGGCACCGCAUGGUGAUAUUUGUUAAAGAAAUUCGCUGAUAGAUGGGCAUGCGUUCCAUUAGGUAGUUGGUGAGGUAACGGCUCACCAAGCCGACGAUGGAUAGGGGAACUGAGAGGUUGGUCCCCCACACUGGUACUGAGACACGGACCAGACUCCUACGGGAGGCAGCAGUGAGGAAUAUUGGUCAAUGGGCGAGAGCCUGAACCAGCCAAGUCGCGUGAAGGAAGAAGGAUCUAUGGUUACGUAAACUUCUUUUGCAGGGGAAUAAAGUGCAGGACGUGUCCUGUUUUGUAUGUACCCUGAGAAUAAGGAUCGGCUAACUCCGUGCCAGCCGCCGC
rnacentral:rRNA from 1 species